rnacentral:rRNA from 1 species
CAGCCGCCGCGGUAAAACGUAGGGUGCAAGCGUUAAUCGGAAUUACUGGGCGUAAAGCGUGCGCAGGCGGUUAUAUAAGUCAGAUGUGAAAUCCCCGGGCUCAACCUGGGAACUGCAUUUGAGACUGUAUGGCUAGAGUGUGUCAGAGGGGGGUAGAAUUCCACGUGUAGCAGUGAAAUGCGUAGAGAUGUGGAGGAACACCGAUGGCGAAGGCAGCCCCCUGGGCCAAUACUGACGCUCAUGCACGAAAGCGUGGGGAGCAAACAGGAUUAGAUACCCCCGUAGUCCCUGUCUCUUAUAC